rnacentral:rRNA from 1 species
GACGAACGCUGGCGGCGUGCUUAACACAUGCAAGUCGAACGAAGUGGUGGAUGGGCGAGUAACACGUGAGGAACCUGCCUUUCACAGGGGGAUAACACUGGGAAACCAGUGCUAAUACCGCAUAGUGAAAGAUGGCCUCGGGACUGAUUAGCUAGUAGGUGAGGUAACGGCUCACCGAGGUGAUGAGCAGUAGCCGGACUGAAGGUUGAUCGGCCGCAUUGGGACUGGGAGACGGCCCAGAAUACUAUGGGAGGCAGCAGUGGGGAAUAUUGGGCCAUGGCGCAAGCCUGACCCAGCAACGCCGCGUGAAGGAAGACGGUCGUCGGAUUGUAAACGUCUUUAGACAGGGACGCGGUACCUGUAGAAUAAGCCACGGCUAACUACGUGCCAGCAGCCGCGGUAAUUC